rnacentral:rRNA from 1 species
AGAGUUUGAUCCUGGCUCAGGACGAACGCUGGCGGCGCGCCUAACACAUGCAAGUCGAACGGAACAAUUUUUUUCACUCCGAGCCCUUUGCCAAGUCUUAAAGAAGCGCAAUCGACGCGAAGCGUCGAUUUAGGCUAAUUUAGUAAGACUAACCAAAAAGGCAGAGAGUUGGGAGUGAAGAAAAUUGUUUAGUGGCGAACGGGUGAGUAACGCGUGAGUAACCUGCCCUGGAGUGGGGGACAACAGUUGGAAACGACUGCUAAUACCGCAUAAGCCCACGAUACCGCAUGGUAUUGAGGGAAAAGGAUUUAUUCGCUUCAGGAUGGACUCGCGUCCAAUUAGCUAGUUGGUGAGGUAACGGCCCACCAAGGCGACGAUUGGUAGCCGGACUGAGAGGUUGAACGGCCACAUUGGGACUGAGACACGGCCCAGACUCCUACGGGAGGCAGCAGUGGGGGAUAUUGCACAAUGGGGGAAACCCUGAUGCAGCGACGCCGCGUGGAGGAAGAAGGUUUUCGGAUUGUAAACUCCUGUCGUUAGGGACGAUAAUGACGGUACCUAACAAGAAAGCACCGGCUAACUACGUGCCAGCAGCCGCGGUAAAACGUAGGGUGCAAGCGUUGUCCGGAAUUACUGGGUGUAAAGGGAGCGCAGGCGGACCGGCAAGUUGGAAGUGAAAACUAUGGGCUCAACCCAUAAAUUGCUUUCAAAACUGCUGGCCUUGAGUAGUGCAGAGGUAGGUGGAAUUCCCGGUGUAGCGGUGGAAUGCGUAGAUAUCGGGAGGAACACCAGUGGCGAAGGCGGCCUACUGGGCACCAACUGACGCUGAGGCUCGAAAGCAUGGGUAGCAAACAGGAUUAGAUACCCUGGUAGUCCAUGCCGUAAACGAUGAUUACUAGGUGUUGGAGGAUUGACCCCUUCAGUGCCGCAGUUAACACAAUAAGUAAUCCACCUGGGGAGUACGACCGCAAGGUUGAAACUCAAAGGAAUUGACGGGGGCC